rnacentral:lncRNA from 1 species
AGGGUAUGCAAGAUCCACCACAAAUACAGGGAGUCCACUGUUCACACGGACAGAGUCUCUCCUGUAUUUGCACGGCGUUGCACAAGUACAAGAUACACAAUACAAGAUACAACCACCAAAUAUGAAUAUCCACAUAUCCAUACACUCUUCACAUCCAUCAGUUAAAAUGUUUCCUACCCGAAAACUCGUUUUGAAAUACUAAUAACCAGAAAAACGAGAAAAUCGUUUUUAAAAUCGUUUCCCACACAGAAACCCUUUUUCUUUAAAAGCACUCUACCACAAGGGGUAGAAAACUAUUUUCAUUUUGCAAGAAUCCAUAAAUCCUUUAUUACAUUCACGAAAUCCCAAAUAUUCAAUUCACAUAAAAUACUAAACCAAAAUUGCGUUCUAAGUCAUUUAUU